rnacentral:ncRNA from 1 species
AACCGCCGUAUACGGAACCGUACGUACGGUGGUGUGAGAGGGGCAGAAAAUUAUUUAAUUUUCUCCUCUACUCGAU